rnacentral:rRNA from 1 species
GACAGAGGGGGCAAGCGUUGCUCGGAAUUACUGGGCGUAAAGGGCUCGUAGGCGGCCAACUAAGUCCGACGUGAAAUCCCAAGGCUUAACCUUGGAACUGCGUCGGAUACUGGAUGGCUUGAAUUCGGGAGAGGGAUGCAGAAUUCCAGGUGUAGCGGUGAAAUGCGUAGAUAUCUGGAGGAAUACCGGUGGCGAAGGCGGCAUCCUGGACCGACAUUGACGCUGAUGAGCGAAAGCUAGGGGAGCAAACGGG